CUGGAGGGAGCAUCACACCACAUGGCACAGAGGAGGAAAAGUGCCAGCUCUGGACAUGAGGAGAUCAGACUUCAGGCUGCUCAGGAAGGUGAGGUCAGAUUUCCCACCGGGAUAUGAAGUUUCCCAAAUACAAGGCUGACCAUGUAUGCCAUCAACAUUUAGACCCACAGGACCAUUUAACCUACAAUCAUGGACCAAGAAUAUUUCAAGAGGAGGUAAACUGAAUAUCCCUACAAGUUGCUGACAGUUCAGAGGAAAUCCAGAUGCAUUUGCAUGGAAUAAAC